rnacentral:rRNA from 1 species
AUGAACAAUGCUCUUUGUGCCCCUUAUACUACUGAAGAUGUUCGAAAGGCAUUAUUCGAUAUCGGGGACUUAAAAGCUACGAGGCCAGAUGGAUUCUAUGCUAUUUUCUAUAAGAGGUUUUGGCCCAUGCUAGGGGAUGAUCUAAUUGAGGAGGUUUUGAAGGCAAUCAAUACAUGUACUAUUUCAGCGGGUUGGAACGAUACUGCAAUUAUGAUGAUUCCAAAGGUGAAUACACCAGAAAAGGUAACCCAAUUUAGGCCGAUCAGUUUAUGCAAUGUGGUAUAUAAAAUAAUUGCAAAAAUGGUGGCCUCCCGUUUGAAGGUUUUCCUACUAGAAAUCAUUAGUCCAACUCAGAGUGCCUUCAUGCCUGGCAUAUUGAUUACGAAUAACAUUUUAGUGGCUUAUGAGUGUUUUCACACAAUCAAGAACAUAAGAGAAGGUAGAGAGAGAUUAUGUGCUAUAAAACUCGAUAUGCACAAAGCUUACGACAGGGUUGAAUGGCCUUUUCUGAAGGAGAUUAUGUUAAGACUAGGUUUCCUUCAAUAUUGGGUGAACUUUAUCAUGCAGUGUGUCUCAACUGUUGAGUACAGAGUAAGGAUUAAUUCCGAGGAAAGCAAAAAAUUUAACCCUACAAGGGGGUUGAGAUAGGGAGACCCAUUAUCACCUUAUCUAUUCUUGUUGUGCACAGAGGGGUUGAAUGCCUUACUUACACAUGCAGAGGAAAAUGGAAAUAUCUCAGGAGUUAAAGUAUGUAGAGAUGCCCCGCCUAUCACAAAUCUCAUCUUUGCGGAUGACUCUUUGAUUCUCAUGAAAGCAAACCAACAUAGCGCCGAAUUACUGAAAUCAACGCUAGAUUUAUACCGUGCGGCAUCGGGACAGUUGGUAAGUGUGGAAAAGUCCAACAUUUUCUUUAGCCCCAACACGAAGGUGGAGAUUAGAGAACAAUUGUGUACAACAUUGAACAUUAUGACUCAGGCCCUCAGUGAUAAAUAUCUAGGGUUGCCAACAAAUGUGGGGUUAGAUAAAACACACUUUUUCCAAUUUCUGAUUGAACGAAUUGUGAAGAAAAUUAGUGGUUGGAAGGAAAAACGGAUGUCAGCCGGAGGGAAGGAGAUCCUGCUCAAGGCUGUUAUCCAAGCCACACCCACCUAUGCAAUGUCGGUUUUUAAAAUUCCUAAAAGCAUUUGUAAAGGAAUCAUUGACGCGAUAGCGCAUUUCUGAUAUGGAGACGAGGAGAACCAGAGGAGGGUGCAUUGGAUGGCCUAG